AUCGCUCCUUGGCCAUUUUUGGCUUAGAUCAUGUGAUCUUGUCAGCUUAAUAUCUGGCAUGCGAGUCACUGACUCGUUCCAAUAUUAAACUGAUUUUUGUUCAGAAGGAGUGGUAAAGAAGCUUGCUUAGAUCUUCUCAGUAUUGUAUUGUUUCUGAGUUUGGUCUAACCCCA
rnacentral:snRNA from 1 species